CGCUAAAACAGUACUUAAUUAUCUUUUGCGCGUAUAUGGUGAUAAAUCAGGCAAAAUUGAGAUUCCACCCGAACCCACAACAUGCUGCAUGUCUGGUUGUGCGAAUUGCGUUUGGAUCGAAUAUGCAGAGACCUUGUCAAAACUUUUCGAAGUAUGGAGUUGAAAAAUAUUGCGCAAAGCAAAGCCGAUGAAACAAGUACGAGUACUUCGAAAAAGGAUCAAUAGCCGCUAUGGAAAGAAUUUUUGCCUCCCACUCUUAUUUAACAAUAAACUAAAUAUAUUUAUAUGCUAUACAAAUUAAGUGCAAAAUAAAAUAGUUUAGAUAUACAAAUGAAGAAAA